UGGGUGAUCCGCGCAAUUGGAGGGGGUGAAUCGUGUCAGGUCCGAAAGGAAGCAGCACUAAACACCUGAAGAUGUGCGCGGAUCACUUAAAA
rnacentral:SRP_RNA from 3 species